AAGAUGAGUGAUUUUGAUAUGUGGGGAGGAAGGAGGAUGCUAGGAACUGAAACUUGGGUUCUUGAACAUUCUGGGCAAACACUAUACAUAAGCCCACAAGCCCUUUCUUUUUACUUUUUAUUUUAAGACAGGGCCAUAAAAUGUUGCCUAGGCUAACCUUGAACUCACUGUUUGUCCAAGGUAGGUCUUGAAUUAGUGAUCCUCCUGCCUAACUUUGGAUAAUUCUGCUGAUGUACACAAAGAGGGGACUCUCGAGAUGACAGAAUUUGGUAUGGAUUCAGUCCAGGUCCGGGUACAUUCUCAUCUGGUAAAAUGUCCAAGUGAAGUGAGCAACUGAAGAACUCAUUCUACUAAAUUCUUAAGCUACAAUAGAAGUUCGGGUUGUUUUUCUUUUUUCUUUUCUUUUUUGACAGGGGCUCACUCUAGCCCUGGCUGACCUAGAACUUUCUAGCCUUGACAUCACAGAGAUCCGCCUGCCUCUGCCUCCCCAGUGCUAAGAAUAAAGGAAUGUGCCAUCACACCUCCACACACGCACACCGUCUAAAUGUAAUUUGUUCUUGUAAUCAGUCAAGAGUGAGUCAGAACUGACUCUUCCAAGUUGUCUUCUGACCUACACACACAUUCAGUGGCAUGUGCCCUUACCAGGAUGUAAAUUGUAAC
rnacentral:lncRNA from 1 species